ACAAAGUCAUCGAGUUACGACACU
rnacentral:siRNA from 1 species